AUCUUGUCGGGUAAGUUCCGACCUGCACGAAUGGCGUAACGACUUCUCAACUGUCUCAACCAUAGACUCGGCGAAAUUGCACUACGAGUAAAGAUGCUCGUUACGCGCGGCAGGACGAAAAGACCCCGGGACCUUCACUAUAGCUUGGUAUUGGCGUUUGGUUCGGUUUGUGUAGGAUAGGUGGGAGACUGUGAAGCAGGCACGCCAGUGUUUGUGGAGUCAUCGUUGAAAUACCACUCUGAUCGUAUUGAACCUCUAACCUCGGACCGUAUAUCCGGUCCAGGGACAGUGCCUGGUGGGUAGUUUAACUGGGGCGGUUGCCUCCCAAAAUGUAACGGAGGCGCCCAAAGGUUCCCUCAACCUGGACGGCAAUCAGGUGUUGAGUGCAAGUGCACAAGGGAGCUUGACUGCGAGACCUACAAGUCAAGCAGGGACGAAAGUCGGGACUAGUGAUCCGGCACCUCUGAGUGGAAGGGGUGUCGCUCAACGGAUAAAAGGUACCCCGGGGAUAACAGGCUGAUCUUCCCCAAGAGUCCAUAUCGACGGGAUGGUUUGGCACCUCGAUGUCGGCUCGUCGCAUCCUGGGGCUGGAGCAGGUCCCAAGGGUUGGGCUGUUCGCCCAUUAAAGCGGCACGCGAGCUGGGUUUAGAACGUCGUGAGACAGUUCGGUCUCUAUCCGCCGCGCGCGUCAGAAACUUGAGGAAACCUGUCCCUAGUACGAGAGGACCGGGACGGACGAACCUCUGGUGUACCAGUUGUUCCACCA
rnacentral:rRNA from 1 species